rnacentral:rRNA from 1 species
CCCCUAGACGUUCUGGGCCGCACGCGCGCUACACUGAACAGUUCAACAAGUCUUAACCUUGGCCGAUAGGUCUGGGUAAUCUUUGAACGCUGUUCGUGAUUGGGAUAGACCUUUGCAAUUAUGGGUCUUCAACGAGGAAUUCCUAGUAAACGCAAGUCAUCAGCUUGCAUUGAUUACGUCCCUGCCCUUUGUACACACCGCCCGUCGCACCUACCGAUUGAAUGGUCCGGUGAAAUCUCGGGACGGCGGCUUGGUCGCUUGCGUCCGACUGCUGAAACUUGAUUAAACCAUAUCAUUUAGAGGAAGGUGAAGUCGUAACA